rnacentral:tRNA from 1 species
GUUUUUAUAGUGUAAAUUAACACAUUACAUUUUCGUUGUAAAGCUGAACUCCUAAUUUUGUUCUAAAAACU